AUUGAACGCUGGCGGCAGGCCUAACACAUGCAAGUCGAGCGAGCGGCGGACGGGUGAGUAAUGUAUGGGGAACUGCCCGAUAGAGGGGGAUAACUACUGGAAACGGUGGCUAAUACCGCAUACUCUCGGAUGAACCCAUAUGGGAUUAGCUAGUAGGUGGGGUAACGGCUCACCUAGGCGACGAUCCCUAGCUGGUCUGAGAGGAUGACCGGCCAAACGGGAACUGGGCAACGGUCCAGACUCCUACGGGAGGCACAAGUGGGGAAUAUUGCACAAUGGGCGAAAGCCUGAUGCAGCAAUGCGGCGGGUAUGAAGAAGGCCUGCGGGUUGUAAAGUACUUUCAGCGAGGAGGCGGUACUCGAAGAAGAAGCACCGGCUAACUCCGUGCCAGCAGCCGCGGUAAUUC
rnacentral:rRNA from 1 species